GACGAACGCUGGCGGCGUGCUUAACACAUGCAAGUCGAACGGAAAGGCCCUGCUUGCAGGGUACUCGAGUGGCGAACGGGUGAGUAACACGUGGGUGAUCUGCCCUGCACUCCGGGAUAAGCCUGGGAAACUGGGUCUAAUACCGGAUAGGAGCCAUUUUUAGUGUGAUGGUUGGAAAGUUUUUUCGGUGUAGGAUGAGCUCGCGGCCUAUCAGCUUGUUGGUGGGGUAAUGGCCUACCAAGGCGGCGACGGGUAGCCGGCCUGAGAGGGUGGACGGCCACAUUGGGACUGAGAUACGGCCCAGACUCCUACGGGAGGCAGCAGUGGGGAAUAUUGCACAAUGGGCGCAAGCCUGAUGCAGCGACGCCGCGUGGGGGAUGACGGCCUUCGGGUUGUAAACUCCUUUCGCUAGGGACGAAGCUUUUUGUGACGGUACCUAGAUAAGAAGCACCGGCUAACUACGUG
rnacentral:rRNA from 1 species